AGGUGUGUUGGGGUAUCCAAGGCUUGCUGUGCUGGGAGAACUGGGUUCUGAUGGUGCCAAGCAGAACCUGUUGGUAUCUGUUGAUACAGAGGAAGAAUUCCAAUGAGGCUGAAGAGCCAGGAGGAACCCAUCACCUUUGGCCACCCAGAGCUACCGAGGGAAGAGGUAACACAGGUUUUGUCAAGGAAAGACAAUUGACCUCUUCUGCUGAAAAUGCUGGUUUGGAGAAAGGUAACAUAAGGUUCCCAGGAAACAGUUCUAAUUGUCCUCACGUUCACACCAUUUGGAGCAAGAAUGUGACCAGGCAUCACAGAGAUGCCACUGGGAUGCCACACAUCAGGGAUGCCACACCACACCCCCUUUUGUCUUCCUGUAUCCUCCUCAUGACCUUGUAUGUCUGAGUGUGUCUCUGCAAGUAUACAUACAGCCUGUAAGAAUGCACAAACUAUGAGAAACACAUAGAGCCAGGCUUGCUCAACAGUGCUCUGUUGUACUCAGCCCCAUGUUCAUCUUGGUGGGGGCACAAAGCCCCUGACAGCAAGUUUCAACAGAGGAAAUUAAGCUGUAGAAGUAACAGCAGAACUACAUAUCCAGGAUUACUUGCAAUUUUUGUAGUUGUGAGGCCUUUGUCUAAUCAUUUCAUUUUAUGAAAUGCUGCCAGAUUUUCGAAGAACAAAGGAAGGCUGUCUUUGAAACCUGGAUGUAUAAAUCAGGGCUACCAGGGGAAGUGGCAUGCAGCCACUCAGCCAGUAUCCACAUUUCCUAAUGUGAUGGAAUAUGGACUUUCCUGUACUUCAGAGGAGAACAGAGAGAGCAAGAAUCUGCUCAUGGGAGCCAAAGAUACAAGGGCUUGAUAGCAGGACCAGGUAACUUGAGGCUGUAGUUCUGCUGUACCCCCAAG